GGGUUGUGAGGUUAAGCGACUAAGCGUACACGGUGGAUGCCCUGGCAGUCAGAGGCGAUGAAGGACGUGCUAAUCUGCGAAAAGCGUCGGUAAGGUGAUAUGAACCGUUAUAACCGGCGAUGUCCGAAUGGGGAAACCCAGUGUGAUUCGUCACACUAUCGUUAACUGAAUACAUAGGUUAACGAGGCGAACCGGGGGAACUGAAACAUCUAAGUACCCCGAGGAAAAGAAAUCAACCGAGAUUCCCCCAGUAGCGGCGAGCGAACGGGGAGCAGCCCAGAGUCUGAAUCAGCUUGUGUGUUAGUGGAACGGUCUGGAAAGUCCGACGGUACAGGGUGAUAGUCCCGUACACCAAAAUGCACAGGUUGUGAACUCGAAGAGUAGGGCGGGACACGUGGUAUCCUGUCUGAAUAUGGGGGGACCAUCCUCCAAGGCUAAAUACUCCUGACUGACCGAUAGUGAACCAGUACCGUGAGGGAAAGGCGAAAAGAACCCCGGCGAGGGGAGUGAAAAAGAACCUGAAACCGUGUACGUACAAGCAGUGGGAGCACCUUCGGGUGUGACUGCGUACCUUUUGUAUAAUGGGUCAGCGACUUAUAUUCUGUAGCAAGGUUAACCGUAUAGGGGAGCCGCAGGGAAACCGAGUCUUAACUGGGCGUUAAGUUGCAGGGUAUAGACCCGAAACCCGGUGAUCUAGCCAUGGGCAGGUUGAAGGUUGGGUAACACUAACUGGAGGACCGAACCGACUAAUGUUGAAAAAUUAGCGGAUGACUUGUGGCUGGGGGUGAAAGGCCAAUCAAACCGGGAGAUAGCUGGUUCUCCCCGAAAGCUAUUUAGGUAGCGCCUCGUGAAUUCAUCUUCGGGGGUAGAGCACUGUUUCGGCUAGGGGGUCAUCCCGACUUACCAACCCGAUGCAAACUACGAAUACCGAAGAAUGUUAUCACGGGAGACACACGGCGGGUGCUAACGUCCGUCGUGAAGAGGGAAACAACCCAGACCGCCAGCUAAGGUCCCAAAGUCAUGGUUAAGUGGGAAACGAUGUGGGAAGGCACAGACAGCCAGGAUGUUGGCUUAGAAGCAGCCAUCAUUUAAAGAAAGCGUAAUAGCUCACUGGUCGAGUCGGCCUGCGCGGAAGAUGUAACGGGGCUAAACCAUGCACCGAAGCUGCGGCAGCGACACUAUGUGUUGUUGGGUAGGGGAGCGUUCUGUAAGCCUGCGAAGGUGGCCUGUGAGGGUUGCUGGAGGUAUCAGAAGUGCGAAUGCUGACAUAAGUAACGAUAAAGCGGGUGAAAAGCCCGCUCGCCGGAAGACCAAGGGUUCCUGUCCAACGUUAAUCGGGGCAGGGUGAGUCGACCCCUAAGGCGAGGCCGAAAGGCGUAGUCGAUGGGAAACAGGUUAAUAUUCCUGUACUUGGUGUUACUGCGAAGGGGGGACGGAGAAGGCUAUGUUAGCCGGGCGACGGUUGUCCCGGUUUAAGCAUGUAGGCGGAGGUUCCAGGUAAAUCCGGUACCUUUUAACGCUGAGGUGUGAUGACGAGGCACUACGGUGCUGAAGUAACAAAUGCCCUGCUUCCAGGAAAAGCCUCUAAGCAUCAGGUAACAUCAAAUCGUACCCCAAACCGACACAGGUGGUCAGGUAGAGAAUACCAAGGCGCUUGAGAGAACUCGGG
rnacentral:rRNA from 1 species